rnacentral:lncRNA from 1 species
UUUAAACAUAAAAAGUGAUUAAUAAUCAUAUAGAGAGAAUAAAAUUAAAAUAUGCCAUCUCGAAAUAUAAUUCUCUGGCAUAUUUUGAAAUGGCUAUUCAGAAGGACUGCAGACACAAGUAUGGCUCUGGAAGCUAUCCUUUGUGGGGGAGAUUUGCAUCUGUAGAGAAAACUUUCAUUAGUAAAGUAAAUAGCAAAUGCAGAGGCUUUUUAUUAAGGUAUUCUUAUCUGGAUCUUGGAAAAAUUAACUCACAAGAAAAGGAGAUGAAAACGUUAACACUUACAAAGUCCUGACAGUGAAACUUUUACCAAAGACUACUGUCUACUCUGAGGGCUGCUACCUGCGAGGCUUCAACUGCAUAAAAAGACAGCCUUUGUCACCAAGUCUUUUUUCCCCAUCUCUCACCCAUAACCUGUCACCAUGCUCCAAGCCUCAAUUUCUUUCUAUAAAAUAUAAAAACUUUGUCAUUUGGCUCUUCUUUCAAUCUCAUAUUCAUAGACCUCUCGUGUCCAUGUGCACAUUGAUAAAUCUGUAUCCCUUUUCUCCUGUUAAUCUGUCUAUUGUCAAUUCAUUUCAGCAGACUCAGACUUCAACAUUCGGGGGAAAAUUUGAACUUCUCUACAGUUUUGGUAUCUUUGGCAGGAUUAUAGCAAAUCACUCUGCCCACACCCGAGGCUGCAGCCAGAAACCACGGAAACUGACAGACGCCAGCAAAAAGAAAGAAAAAGUUAAGAAAUUUCUUACCAGUAAUCCUCCUUGGGUUUCUGCCUUAGGACUAGUCAGGUGAGUGGUGAAACUCCAUUUUCGUGUUUCCUUCUUUCUAAAUUUAAAGGAGAGAAAAUAUUUUUAAAAGUUAGUUCUUUAAAUUUGUGUCCCUUGUGGACUUGUUUUAUACCUAUUGAUAAUUAAUCUUUAAACAUCCAAAAAUGGUCCUUGUUUUUCUUGUCUCUGUCCUUUGUGUGGUUUGGUAUAAGGAGAAAAACCAUAAUAAGCUUCUCCUUUCAUCUUGUUUUUGUGUCUUGAGAAACUUGGCUUUGUAAUCCCCAAAUUUAUUUUCUGGUCUUCACUACCCAGGAGGGCAUAUUUGCCAGACAUAUACUAGGCUGGGAAUCUGAAAUGUCUGUUUUUCCAAAUGUGUAGGUUCUCAAAAAAAAAUUGCCUUUGUUAUCUCAGCCUUCAUUGCCUAACAAUUAAUGUCUUUGCUUUCUUCUUCUUCUUCUUCUUUUUUUUUUUUAGGUGGAAUCCUACUCUGUCGCCAGGCUGGAGUAUAGUGGUGUGAUCUUGGCUCACUGCAACCUCUGCCUCCCAGGUUCAAGCGAUUCCCCUGCCUCAGGCUCUGGAGUAGCAGCAGCUGGGACUACAGGUCAUAUGAAAUGAUCUGGCCUUCAUGCACAGGUGGACAACCAAAAGUUUAGGAGCCCCAAGAAUAUAGCCAAACAGAAAUGUGAGUUAUACCUCAUUUGCAGCUAGUGAAGUUUUGAUUUUUUGGCUGGUCUGUGGGAGUGGUCUGAAUCUUGGAAGAACUUCGUCUUUCUGUUUCGUCUUUGGAGUCCUUGGUUACAACCAUAGAGAGGCUACGUAGUUUGGUCUUGAGUCACUUGUUAAAUAUAUCUUUAGUUAAGAUUUUGGUUUAUAUUCAGAGAAUAAUUUUUUUUUUAACUUUUCCUUUUUCUGUUUGCUUCCUGCAUUCUCAUUUGAGCUAACAGGAAAUUUUAUAUUCAAAAGAAGAAAUUUGAUUAGUAAUUACCCUGAACUUCUAAAAACUUCCAUUAUUUCUUUGUCUUUUGAGAUGUAAAUUCUCUCUCCAGUCUUACCUGAGAAAUAAUUCCUUUUUAAAUGCAAAUUUCAAGGAAAGAAAAGCCAGGAAACAGAAGUGUUUGCUGUUUGUUUGGCUAAAACCUCUAAUGAGAUAUUUAAAGAUUUCUUUUUUAAGAGCUUUAUGGUCAAAAAUUAACUUAAUUAAAAGCUGAUAUUCAGGCUACAAUUUUUUUAAAAGCCUCCCUGCUUUUUCUGUUUUGGAUCCUGUUUCUACUAUGGAAUUUCUUUUAGUCCACAGAAGCUCCUUUUAAUUAUAUGUUCGUUCCUCUGUCUACUUCCUUUUUUGUUGGCAUGAUUUCUGCUGAGAAUAAUAUAAAACUUUAUCGACCUUUUUGAAAACUCCCCAGUUUGCUGCUUUAGGAUUUGUUCUUCCUUUUACCUCUGCCCCCAUUUCUUUUGUCAUCUUGAUACUCUUUGAGGAAGGAAGAAAAGGUGCCACUGACCCUCUUUUUCCUCCUCACGAAGCCUUAAGAGUGAGAAGUCAGUUCCUCUCAGGUCCAAGGCUCUAUUAUCUUUCAUAUGAAGCUCCCUAAUCUCCUGGCUCUUAGGAGGUGGAGUACCAAGGCUUGCUUUAUAACUGACAAGUCACUGGUAAGAGCUACAAUUUUAAAGGUAACUAACAAUGUUACAGCAACCAGUUAUUACGGCAGAAGGCAAAUUCUUACUUUCUACCUUCUUCAUUUCUUUGCAUGCUUAGGUAAGAAAAGACUCAGGUAUAUGACUAAGUCAGACCCAACUGACAAUCAGACAGUUAUUUGAAACAGGCUUCCGAAUUGUCUUUUAGGUUCAUCUGUAUGUAACCGCCCAAUAGGUUCACCUUGCCUAGACAGAACCGAUUUAUCAAGACAGGGAAAUUGCAAUAGAGAAAGAGUUUCAUUUACACAGAGCUGGCUGUACAGGAGACCAGAGUUUCAUUAUUACUCAAAUCAAUCUUUCUGGAAACAUGAGGAUCAGGGUUUUUGUAGAUAGUUCGGUGGGUAGAGGGUCAGAAAGUGGGGAUUGCUGAUUGGUUGGGUCAGAGGUGAAAUCCUAGGGAGUUGAAGCUGUUCUCUUGUGCUGAAUCUGUUCCUGUGUGGGGGCCACAAGACCAGAUGAGCCAGUUUUUGGAUCUGGGUAGUGCUAGCUGAUCCAUCAAGUGCAGGGUCUGCAAAAUAUCUCAAACAUUGAUCUUAGGUUUUACAAUAGUAAUGUUAUCCCAAGAAACAAUUUGGGAUGUUUAGAAUCUUGCAGCCUCCAACUGCAUGAUUCCUAAACCAUAAUUUCUAAUCUUUUACAUAAUCUGAUAGUCCUGCAAAGACAGUCUGGUCCCCCAGGCAGAAAGGGGGUUUGUUUGGGGAAAGGGCUGUUAUCACCUCUAUUUCAAUGCUAAACUAUAAACUAAGUGUCUCCCAAAAUUAGUUUGACCUAUGCCCAGGAAUGAACAAAGAUAGCUUGGAGGUUAGAAGCUAGAUGGAUUUGGUUAGGUCAAACCUCUUUCGCUAUAAUAAUUGUCUCAGUCAUAUUUUUUGCAAAGGCAGUUUCAUGUGUACUUUAUUGUAAAAUCCUCUAAUUCUUAUGAUUUUAUAUUACCUUAGCAUUCAUUUAAAAUCUUCCUCUUUGUCUCACCUAAAGCACCCAAAGCUCCUUGAGAAAACUUAUGUUCUUUCUCUAUGCCUUUGAGAUGUAAAUCUCUCACCCUGUCUUCUCUAGGACUUGAUAGCAUUCUUUUGAAAAAAACUAUAAGAUAUUUGUAUCUAUCUGUAUGAUUGUUUAUGUUUAUACACAUAUACAUCUAUGAUAUCUGUUGUGUCCACAUGAUACAAAAUCCCUUCGUUGAAUUUCAAAUUGAUUUAAAAGACAAAUGAACAUGCAUAUAUUAAAUACUUUAGGCUCCUAAAAUUAUAGAUACUAACUCAAAUUAUUUUCAAAUUCAUAUGAAUUGAAUACAUUUUUUGUAAAUAAAACUAGCUUAAUAUUGUUGGUUUAAAAAACAGUAAAUCAAAUAGAUAUGAGUGAGAUAAAGAUGUAUCUCUUUGAUAACUACAUCCUUAGAAUUUUGCUAAGUUAAAUUAAAUGAUGGCUAUUCAUUUAAUAUCUAGUUCAUUUCUAAAGAAGAUAAAAGAUUGAAACAUUAAUUGCUCAACAUAGGUUUCAGUUUAUUUACAUUUGGCAUCUUACAUUUUAUAGAAAGAUAAAAUAUAUUUGGGCUUGUUAGCAAAUAUGUCCUUUUCCACAUUGGAAAUAUGUUCUAUCAGGAAAUCUAUGUUUCUAGAAGUCAUUAAGUAUAUAGUCAUAAAAUGGGUUGGUAUGUGACUUUGAAGUUGCUUACUUCCUAGAUUUUCACUAGAAAUUAAGAUUAUUAGGAUUAUGUCACUGAAUAUUAAUAUAUAUACUUAAAACUACUAAUAAUAAAGGAAACAAUUCUGUAUACAAAAUAUACAGGCAAAUUAAGAUGUUAUAAGGUAUAAACGUGUUUUUGUUGAGGAAAGAAAUCAUUUUGUCUAGGUACAGGUUAUUUAAAGGUUGACUCAAAAUAAGUAAAUGGAGAUAAGAAUGACUGAGCUAAACCUGAAUAAAUAUAGAAGGUUGGGAAAAGAAAGACAGUGAAAAAAAAUCCUGUGUCGUUAAACUGAUAAAAAUUUACUAAAUUUAAUAUAAGGGUUUUAAAAUUGAGACUUAUCAUUAAUAGUACACUGAUACAAAACUAGAAAUUGCUUUUUAAGGAUAUUCAUGUAGUAUUAAUAAGAGAUAAUAAAAGCUUUAUGUUCACCUUUGGAGUAAAGGACAAAAAGAAAAAAAAAAUUAGGGAAAGAGAGAAACAUGUUAUAUGUGCCUCAGUUAUCUUUACUAGGCCUUUUGAUUAUUUAGGAAAACUGAAUUAAAGAUAAGUUUUUCUACAAAAAAUGUAACUUCCUGUAUUUGCUUCUAAAAUAUUUUAGUUAUUACCCUGAAUUACUAGCAUUUCAUAUUUCCCUGUGAUUCUAUUUUUUAUCAAGUGUUUUAAUCAUUUGAUAUUUAGUAAACUUCUCAAAAAUCAAAAUUUGGGGACCUUCUUUGGUCUUUUUGAUGCCAAAAUAACUCUUGGAGUGCCAGUGGGCUCCUGAACACCUAAAGCACAGACAUUAAACUAAUCAACCUGAUUCAAUGUUUCAAAUUAUAUGGAAAGCAUUGUCAGGUAAGUGAUGCUAAAUGUUCUGCAUGUGUUAUUAAUGUUAGUGUUCCAAAACUGUAUGGGAUUACUAAAAAUCUAGUAUGUUGUCAGUUAUAAUUUUUGGAUAUUAUGUUAAAUUUUACAUUCUACAGAACUUACCACAUUUAUUUGUCCUCUAUGGGUGAUAAUAAGCUACCAUAAGACCUUUAACCAUGGCUACUUUAAGUCUCAUUGUUCACAGUUAAUUGUUUUAUUCUGAUACUCUUUCUAAAAGUGCUUUGCAAUCAGCUACAGUCUAAAAUUUGCUUAUUUUUCAAGGAGAAUUAUGGGAAAGACCCUAACAAGUGCCCUUGAAUAUAGAUUUCUGAUAACUUUAGAAUCAUGUCAUUGGACUGUAUAAGAAUUUCCAGAACUCUUAUGAAGAAACUGAUGGGUUCAUAAAACUCCCAACCUAACACCAAGCAAAACAAGAAUUAAUUACAUUGUACUGAAAUAAUUUUUAUGCCUUUUUUUCAUUGUUUGAAGCAUUACUGAUUCUUUUUACGUUUUGUUUUCUAAAGUUAAGAAAACUUUUUUUCUUAAACUGUCUAUAGGUUUAUAGCAAUUUGGUAAUCUAUACUUUUGUGAGCAACAUUUAAACAUUUAUCUUUCUCUUUACCUGACCCCUCCAGAUUUCAGAAACUAUUUGUGAGUAUUCUUAUUUUAUGGCAGUAUGGUUAUUUGUAUAAGUUCAAUAAGAAUCUGUUCUCUUGUAUAACAGAACACAAUUAGAAACACUGGUCAUUUUACCAAGGUUUUGAGCAUAAUGUCAUACCUUUAAAAUUGACCAGUGUGCUUUAAGAUAUUAAGGUUGACUUUAUGGAACCAAUAAAAAGGUUCCUGGAAAAACUGGCCUGGCACCUUAAAUACACAAUUCACAUGGUUGUCUUACAGGGAGGUAAAGAGUGCCACUUCUUAGCAGCUUCUGAAACGUCAGGAUAUUUUGAGAACCUCAAGCAGAGAGGAAUUCAUCCAGAUACUACAGAUAUUGCAGGGAGAUUUCAAGGUCAUAUCUUUGACUUGGUUUCCUAGUCUUGAGAUGCUUUAAAAAGAAGUCUAAUUUGAGAUUUCUUAUAAAAAGUUUCAGCAAAGCAGACUUUAAAAAGAGCCUGUAAUACCAAUCACUAUUCUUGCUAAACCAUGUAAAUAAUCUGUAUAAAUAAACUAUGUAAAUAAUCACACCAAAGACUAACCUUAUUUUGCAACCAAAUUAGUCUUAACAUAGACAUCUUUGGUAGAAGUGGAGGUGGAAGUAGAGAAAAAAUCGUGUUUUAGAAUAAAAUUAUAGUACACCUGUUAUUAGAUUUUAGAUAAUUAUUUUUGAGAUUUUAUUUUUUAUUUGUUAUCUGGACUGAAUACCAAAUAUUUUUAAUUUCAUCGUGUAUCUGGCUAUAAAUCUCCAAAACAUCAUUUCCAUUUUUUUUUCAACCUUUUGACUUGGAAUCACUAAUAAUUAAAACUGUUUUUCCUGAGGUUCUACGAGCUAAAGUGAGUAUAGUUGAGAAACAGACUCCAGAGAAACCACCACAGUGGCCUGUGUUUAGACAACCUUUAUGACAUUUAAACAGCAAAGUAGAUAACUCUGUCAGAUUGCCAUUGAUUACCCUGGUCCAGCUGAAGUUGAUUCAGCCCAGAUUCAAAAAUCUUCUCCACUGGCUACCCUCCAAACUCAGAGACUAACUUAAAGAUUGCUGCAGACAUUAUUAACCUUUGUUUUUGUUUCCAAAUAAAAAUCUCUAGUAAAAUAUGUGUGUGCUUGCACCAUGUAGAGCAGUAGUCUCCAACAUUUUUGGCACCAGGGACCAAUUUUUGUGGAAGACAAUUUUUCCAUAGAUGGUGGGGGAGUGUGGUUUUGGGAUGAAACUGUUCCACCUCCGAUCAUCAAGUAUUAGAUUCUCAUAAGGAGCAUGCAACCUAGCUCCCUCACCUGCACAGUUCACAAUAAGGUUCAGGCUCCUAUAAGAAUCUAUUGCUGCCGCUGAUUUGACAAGUGGUUGAGCUCACGCAGUAAUGCUCACUCACUUGUGGCUCACCUCUUGCUGUGUGACCCAGUUCCUAAUAGGCCACAGACAGGUACUGAUCUGCAGCCCAGGGGUUGGGGAUCUCUGACAUAGAGCCUUCACCUUGAAAAAGUACAUCUGCAGUGUUACCUCCUGAAAUAAGACAUAAUUAUUUAACUUAACUGACUUAUUCUAGGACUAAGAUACUGAUUCAAGAAGAUGUGGUGCAGUGUACUCAAUAUUUUUCCAUUCUGCUUGUUCCAAUCUAUGUUUUCUUCCCCUCUGCCAAUCUCUUUUCUUAAAUUUUCUAAUUCAAAGAAAUCACCAUAGCUACCAAUUUUACUUUAACAUGUGAAACUUUCUGGAAAUAAAGUUUCAAAUGGGGGACUCAAGGAAACCAAAAUAUGACACCCCAAAAUAUAUUUGGCAUAUUUCGAAAUGUCUAUUUAGAGGGACUGCAGACACAGAAAUAGUUCUGAAAAGCUGUCCUUGUGGGGGAGAUUUGCAUCUGUAGAGAAAAUCUACAUUAGUCAAUAGCAGAUGCAGAAGCUUUCUCUGAGUUUCCCUUAUCCAAAUCUAGGAAAGAUUAACUCACAGGAGAAGGAGAAUGAAAGUUUAACACUUUUAAAGAUCUAACAGAGACUACCAUUUAUUCUUUCUGAGGGCUGCUACUUGUCAGGCUUCAUAUGCAUAGCAAGACACAUUUUGCUAACAACAUCUUUCCUCCCUCUCCCACCCUUAUCCUGCCACCGUAUUUCAAGCCUUUAUUCCUUUAUGUGCAAUAUAAAAACUUCAAUUAUCUGGCUUUUGUUUGAGUCUCAUAUGGAUAGUGACAGGAGACAGACAAAUUCCUAGGCAGACAAGGACGUGUCCCCAGAGAAAUCCAGUCUUCAAGCCAAAGACAGCCUGAAACCUGAAAAACAAGCUGCUGGUUCCACAGAGAGCCCAUGACCGGAGUGAGAACUUCCUCGAUGCCUUUUAACCAAUUGAAUGGUCCUUUUUCUAAGACCACUCAUGAACCAAUCAGCACACACUCCCCUAUUUUAUGAGCCCAUAAAAACCCCAGACUCAGCUGCAAAAAGGGCUACCCACUUUUGGGCUCCCUCUUGCAGCUGAUGGCAACCUGACUUCAGGGUGCCAUCUCACAUUUUAGAACUUUCCUUCUGUCACUUAAAAUUCUUCUCUGCCUUACUCAUUCUCUGGUGCCCAUGCACCUUAUUCCUCUUGGUUUUGGAACAAGAGCCCAGAACUCGCUGAGCUUCAGGCAGCAGGAACAAAUGAGUGUCAACCCUCCUGUUCGCAGAGCUGUGGGCAAUGGGAAUGAGAGAGCUGUAAUAUGCCCCCAUUCUCCUAGCUGUGGGCUCAAAGAAGUGAAGCCAUUGGGUACCAUUCCCUCCUGGCUGGCUUGCUGUACUACAAAAGCCGAAACAUUUCUUGGAGGCUCAGAGUUCAGGAAUCCCCAGGCGAAAGCUAUAACACCACCUGGGGCUCCAUGGUUGCUGGCAUCUCUGAGUUUUUGAGUGCCACCACAUUCCCCUUGUCUAAAUACAGGUGCCCAAUGUGGAAGCCACUCAUUGUACCCCUGGUCCAGCCAUGGGCUGAGCAUGGUGUCUCUGUUCUGGUGUGGGAUCUGGGGCAAGCUGUGAGCCGAGCACAGCCUGCCAGACUGAGUGGUUAGAGCAAGACCAGCAAGCCCAAGUGAGGCCCCAGAAAAAGAUCAUGGCAGCUGCAGGGACUUCCAGCAGGAGAAGUGGCACCAAAGGAAUCCUGUAACAAUAUUUUUGGAAUUCCUCUAUCCAUGUGGCUAUUAAUAAAUUUAUAUUUGUUCACAUUUUCUUCCAUUAAUCUAUUGUCAAUUCAUUUCAGCUGACUUAAACUCUUAGACUUUAGAGAGAAACUUUUAACUUUCUGACAGUAUAUAUAAUAUAUAUGUACACACAUAUACAUGGAUAUAUUUAUACACACACAUGCAUAGUUUUCUCUCAAAGCCAAUCCACAUAUAAUGGCCAUAAAAAGUUCACGUUCCUCUUAAAAAAUCAUAAUAUGGGGAAGCAAAUUAUUAUUGUAGUGACAUACUUCAUCUUCUCUGCUGCUCAAUAAGCAUACACUUCUAUUGUUGAGAGUAUUCUCAACUUAUGCAGUAAUAACUAUCUCCCACUAAAGAAACUAAAAAUGUAAGAUUUGAGUUUUUGUUACUAUUACAGCUAUUUAGUAGAAAAUAUGUAUAUAUCUUAGGUUCCUCAAUGAGAUGACCUAUCCUAUAAAUUGAAUAGAAGAGCAUGAGGAUCUAUUUAGACAAUAAGUGACAGCAGUGCUUCCACAUGCAAUUAGUUUCAGAGGCACCAAUGACAUUGCUCCUAGGGGUGGCUUCUAGUGCCAAUGUGAGCAAUGUUAGCAGGGCAAGCUAAAAUAACUUUUCUCAGGUGCUUUGGCAGAAAGAUCUUCACUGAACAAAUCUGUAUAAUUUUGGGCAUAGCUCCUGGCCACAUAUCUUCCAAGCCUGGUUUUCUAGCCUGUAAGAAAUUAAAUGGCUUUCUCGCAAUCACUUUAAUAAACUGAAUCUUGCUUAUAACUGGGUUGCUUUUAUUUGCUUUCAAAUAAAGAAACCUCACUGAUUAAAAAAAUACUACCAGUGGCGAUUAAAAUAACAGAUCGUCAGAGAUUGGAGGAAAUUCCCACUUGGUUGGGUAUAAAAAGAAGUAAAUAGUUAGUAUUAAGGAAUGAAACUUUGUGAACAUAUAACAAUAUGAAAGGCAUAAAAAAAGUGAGUGCUAAAGCUCCUUCUAGUGAUGCUGAGCAAUUUAAAGAGAAGAGGAGAUACAUCUUACAAAUUACUGCAUGAAACAAAACCAAACAACAUUCUCUGUUUGUGUGGAGAAAAACAAUUUCUUAUUUUUUUUGCAACUGUAAGGCUGUGAUGGUUACACACAAAAAAACAUAAUAUUUUUACUGUGGGUGGUAGGAUCAUUGUGACUGCAUAAUUUUGAAUUUGCCCCAAACUCCUCCUAAAAGCCAAAAGUCUAUUUGGCCAGCAAAAGAAAUAUUCCACAGAAAAUAUCUUCAAUAAAGUAGAAACUAAGAAAUGUGGCAUCACCAUGAGGCUCAAGACAUGCAGAUGGGGGUUGUAUGGCCAAACCACCAACAGCAGGAGCAAUGCAAAAUUAGCAGUUUGUUGACAUGUAUAGUAGGAAUAAAAGGGAAACUGACCCUGUCAGUUCUGGAACCUUAAUAUUGCAAAAUAAAUAAUUAAUUAAAAUAAAUUAAAACCCCAAAUGGAAAACAACAACAACAAAGCUUCAAGAAGAAACUUGAUUGAGUGAAUCCCAGGACAUCAGAAAUAUCUGGGAUACUUCUUCAUGAGCCCUAAGUUGUAAGUAAAGGCAGAGACAAAGAAACAACAUAGCCAUAAAUACUUAACAAUAGAAGAUCAAAUACUGCUGUGGUUUUCAGAAAUAUCCAAAAAUUUUCCCUCCCAUAAGGACUGAGUUUGAUUUAGAGGAGACAUAGGAAAAGGUAUGAAGUUGAGCAAAGCAAAAACACUAUGGAUAAGAAAGAGAAUAGGUGCAGAUUUCAAGAUACAAAAUACCCAGGAGAGUGAAAAUCCAGAUAUUACUGUACAGCAAAAUAAACAUCUAAAAGUAAGAAAAUUGUUUUUGAAAACAAGGACUAUAUGGCUCUAGGAAACAUAGAGCAGGAGGUAAGAAAACACAUUCCUGAAUCUCUGGGAGACAAAAAGAGGUCAUAAAAAGAUAUCAUGGUUUGAGUUCUCCACUGUAACAAUGUCAUACAAAAUGUAAAACCAAGGAAGUUUAAAAAAAAGAUACUCUAGUCCAUCACCACUGCUUGUAGAGCAACCCUCUCCUAGUGACUGAGAAAAACACUUCAAAAAAAAUUGUAAAAAACUGAAAUAGGACAAAUGCAUUAAAUAAGACAAUUGUUUUAAUACUAAAAGUUGUAAUUCCUAAUGGAAUGUGACAAUUAUUAAUAUCAGGGCACUAAAUAAACUAGUAACAUCUGUUAUUAAAAAACCCAGUAAGUAAUGAAAGGUAAAAUAGACAUGGACGAAAAGAAAAACAAAGAGAACAAAAACAGAUUUUAAUGUACUUCUCUCACACUAGACAUAAACAAUUAGGGUAUAUCAAACUCCAUAUUCCAAUAUAAGAACCUUCUCUACAAGGGCAUGAAAUCUGACCACAUGGUAGAAGACAAAGAAAACUUGAAUAAAUUGCAACAUUAUGAAUAUUAGGAAGUUUUUUCUGACCAUGGUGCAACCGCCGUGAGAUAUAUCUGAAUAGCAUCAGAGGCUGAUUUCCUUUCUCCUUUUAGAGGCUCAGAAGAGAGUUGGCUCAGUUUCAGUUGCCCUGAGGAUAUUUAUGUAGAAGCAAUAUUUUUGGCUAAUGUUAGUCUGGCUGGCAUGCAAGGCUGUUCUCCCUGCCCUGGGGUCUUAGUAUGAAGACUUUGGCUCUUGACUCGCAGAAUCACUAACAUCACUUCUGGGCCUGGAGAUUCUUUUACUGGUUCUUUGUUACUUAGAGAAACUAAGUAUUCCCCAAUCCCUUUUAGGAAACUCCACAAACAUUUUGUUGGAGUGGAGCUCAUAGUUGACCUUGGAGGCCUCUCAAUUAGAUGUCCAGGCAGCUGGAACCUUGUUCCAAGUGCAUUCAGCACAGUUAUGCUCAGCCUAUACUGUGAAAUGACAGGUUCACAGAACUGUGUGUGGUCUGCUACUUCUCUGCUGGUUUGCUUCCCCCCAAUAAACCCUACUUUAAAUUUGCAUUGUGAGUUACUAGCAGUAUGUAUCUAUGGUUAUCUGCCCCAUGACAGCAACAAAAUGAGAAAUUAAUACAAUAUUUUUAAAAAGAAAGAAAAGUGGUUCUUCUCUUGGAAGUGGUGUAGUCAAAGUAAAUAAUUCAUAAAGUAAAAAAAGAUUAUUGCAUUAGAAAACAAAUAAACAUGUAAAACUAAUAUAUAAAUUAAAUAUGGUUCACAGACAUCAACCGAAAAGACAAACUAUUUCAACCUAAUUAAAGAGAAAGUAGAGAAAAAACAGAUAUCUAGAAAUAAAAAAGGAAAGGAAGAAAUAACCCUUAAAGUGGAUUAAAUUUUGAAAAACUAAUAGGAGUAUCCAUUGCACAUUGCUAAGCAAACACAGUUGAAAACUUAGAUGAAAUGUAAGGUUUUCUAGGAAAAUAUAAUUUUGCCAAAGUGACCCACGAAGGAUAGAAACUCAAAACAGAAAAUUGUCAUGAAAGUAGAGUUUUACAUAAGUUUCUAUAAAACAAAGCAUUAGGCCUUGGCAGAGUUAAAUUUGACCAAACUUUUAAAGAAGCUCAACUAGACUAAAUGUUCUUAAAAAAUGCAGAGCAUAAAAAGUAGAAAAUACAUUAAAUUAUUUUUUGUGAAUCAAGUAUAAAGUUAAGGCAAAUGUUUAAUAAAUGUUUUUAACAAACUAUCUCGUGAAUAUCAUCGAACAAUCUCAAACUAUUAAUAAAUAAAUAUAUACUUUUUAAAACAAUUCAUCAUGAGCCUGUGAAAUUCAUUCAGAAAAACAAUUCUGACUUGACAUAGAGAAAUUUGUCAAUGUGAGUUGUAUUAAUUUAUCUAAGGAGAAAAAUGUAAAUAUGUUUAGAGAUGUUGAAAAAGCACUGAAGAAAAUUCAACAUCAAUUUUUUUAAAAAACCCUAAAAUAUUGGAUUUAAUAAUUUUUUUUUUUUUGAGAAAGGGUCUCACUCUGUCACCUAGGCUGUAUGGCAGUGGCACUAACAUGGUUCAAUGCUGCAGCCUCAAAUUCCUGUGUUCAAGUGAUCCUCCCACCUCAGCCUCCUAGUGUUGGGAUUAAAGGUGUGCUACCAUACCCAGCAAUAUAUUUCUUAAAUAUCAAAAAUAUAUAAUGAAAGUCAUCAAUGUACUUGGACUAAAGACAGGUUUAUUUCCUGCUGUAAUCAGAAACAAGUUAAAGAUGUCCACUAUUGCCACAACUAUAUAAUAAUAUAUGUUAGGGAUAAAAGGCAAUCAAAAUAAGCAUGAGAAAUGUAUUUGAGGAACAAGGAUUAGAAAGGAAGUAUAAUCAUUAUUUUUUUGGUUUAACAUAAUUGUGUAAACAUAUAACAAAGAAUUUUUUAAAAAACUACUUAAAGUAAAAGUAAAAUAACUUAGGCAAAUAGCAGGAUAUAAAAUUAAUAUAUAAAGUAAGACAAUGAAUUUUGUGUAUCAUAUAAUGCUAACUAAAUGUAUAAAACUAUGUAACUAUAUAUUAUAGCUAUGCAUGUACAUUUAUAACUAACAAAAGACAAAAUAAAUAAGAAGACUUCAUUUUUAUAGCCUAUAAAGCCAUAUAUAUAUAUGAGAGAGAGAGUCAUAAACCUAAGAAUGUGUAUGACCCAUCUAAGCAAUAUGUAAAACACCUUAGAAAGACAUUAAACUAGAAUUGAACAAAUAUUCAUGGAUAGAAGUAUUCAACACUGUUAAUGUGUCAAUUUUCUUUAAGUUAAUUUACAAAUUUAACAUGAUCUUGAUAAAAAUUACUGAAAAAAGUACAAUGUGGGAGAGUUAGUCCUAACACAAUUAUAUAUGAAGUAUUUUUUAAAAUUAAAAUAGUGUAGUUUUACUAGAAGAAGAGACAAACAAUGGAACAAGAUAGGAUGCCUACAAAUAAAUCCAAGUCAUUUUAGAAAUGUAAUAUAUAAAAUCAAGGCAGGCAUUGUAAAUAAGUAGAAAAGUUGGACUUUUUAAUAAAUGUUAGUUAUUUAACUGGAUAGCCAUUUAAAAAUAGCUUCAUGGAAUCAACUCUAAAGCCAUUUAAUGUAGAAAAACAAAGAGGAGGUUCUAGUUAGAAAAAGAAGCCCAACUAGACUGAAUCAAUUAAAAAACUUAGUAAAGCAGAUUCAUACAAGCUAAACACAGAAAAAUAAUAACUAAAUUGAAUACUAAAAAAUAAAAAUGGAAAAUAAUAUUUUUAAGAUGGUAAAAAAUUUAUAACCUUUAAAGAUUAAAUUUAGUAUUGACCAAAGACCAAUAUAAAUAUAGCCAGAAGUUGUACUAACUGAUGGAAAACUAAUCAUAACAAGUGAAAAGCACAUCCUAGGUUUACCAUUUUCUUGUAUGAGAAAAUAGUAUCGCUAUAGUCAUUCAACUAAAUUUGAAUACAGUGUAUAAAUUUAAAACAAUUCUAAUUAAAAUUCCCUCUUUUAAAAACAGCAUCCAUUUCUCUUUGAAGUUAUAUGGAAGGAUAGAUGCUGGCAAAUAGUAAAGAAAUAUGUGAAGAAAUAGAAUGAUGAAUGGUUAGUGUCCUUUUCAGCUAUCAGAACACAGAUCUAAAAAGCUAGUGACCUGUGGAACUGACUAUACAAUCCAGAAAUAGAUCCCCUAAAAUGAGAUUCUAAUAUAUAGGAAAUGUAGUUUCUAAUAUAUGGCAAAAGAAUAGUUUAUUUAGAAAUAAAAUAAUAUAGGUUAUCCAUUUGAAAUAUAAUAAAAUUGGAGCAGCAUUUAAACCAGUUACAAAAUCAGUUCCAGAUACAUCAAAACAGGAAGCAAAAACCAGUGAGGCAUAUUCCACGGUAGGAAAUGCUAAUUGCACAAAAUUCAUAAAAGAAAAAUGAACAUUUCACCAUGUAGACAUGAAAAGCCUUUGUGUGGCAAAACACGCCAUACGUAGUGAGUAAAAAGACCAGAUAUUUCAAAAGGUGCAAUGACAAUAUCAAAUAAAUGUGCUAUAUUUAUAAUAAAAGUGAUAAUCUAUAAUCUGUACAUAGAUAUACAAGCCAAUGAAAAGAUGGGCAAAUCACAGAGGAGCAACUGGUUAAGAAACAUAAAUAGAUGCAUAAAGUCACUAGAAUUUAAAAAAAUGGAAUUGAAAUUAAUGAGAUAUUUCUUUAUAUCUUCUAGUUUAGAAAAAAAGUUUAAAAUGAAUGUAGUUAAUAAUGUAGGGGAAAAUGCACUAUCAUAUACCCUUAAUAGAAACUACAAUUUUAUACUUCUUUAUGAAGGUAUUCUUGCAAAAUUUUUUAAGAAAAAACAAUGCUUAUUUCUUUAACACAAAAAUCUCACUUGUGGAAACCUAUCCUUUAGAAAUAAAUGCCCCAGUUGAAACGGUUAUAUAUUCAAGGAUUUUUGCCUAUUAUGGCAAAAUAACUGAAAUAAAAUGGAUGAUUAGUGAUGAGAAGUAAUUAAAUACAUUGUAUAUUACAUAUCCACCAUGGAAUAAUAUAUAACUAUUAACAAGAAUGAAUUAGGACUCAACAAGUAAACAGACUGGGCAUGGGGGUAGGUCAGAAUUUGCAAAAUCUUAUAACGAAAAGCAAAAUGCAAAACCGUGUGUAAAAUAUAACUCUGGUUUGAAAAGAGCAAUUAUGACAAAGCCUAUUACAAUAUACCUGUGUAUAAUAAGUCUGUAUCUACAUCUUAUCUAGAUAAUAUGAACAUGGGGGUAAAUUAAGGAAGGAUACCCACUAACUUAUUAACUUGUGUUAUCUGAAAGAAUUGAGAAUGGGAUUAUGCAGGUGAAUGGGGAAACUGUCAAAUUAGUCAUAAUCUCAUGUGGUAAUUAUGUGGUUAAUACCAACAUAUGCACAUUAAAAAAAUGAGAAAUCGUUUUCUCAAAAAACGAAAAACAAGUGGCCAACAGGUAUAUAAAAAAUGCUCAGCGUCGUUAAUCAUUAGGGAAAUGGAAAUCAAAACCACAAUGAGAUAUCAUUCUCACCCCUUAAAAUGGCUAUUAUCAAAAAGACAAAAAAUUACAAAUGCUGGCAAGGAUGUGAAGAAAAGGGAACUCUUAUACACUGUUAGUGGGAAUAUAAAUUAGUACAGAUAUUAUGAAAAACAACAUGGAGAUUUCUCAAAAAACUAAAAAUAGGACUAAUUUGUUGAGAGUUGUUAUCAUAAAGGCACAUUGAAUUUUCUCAAGUGCUUUUUUUCUUUUUUACAUCUAUUGAGAUAAACCUAUGGCUUUUGUCCUUCAUUCUGUUCAUAUGAUGUACACAUUUCUUGAUUUGCAUAUGUUAAAACCAUUCUUACAUCCCUGGGAUAAACAGCAGUUCACCAUGAUGCAUUAAAUUUUUGGUAUGUUGUUGGACUUAGUUUCCUAGCAUUUCAUUGAGGAUUUUUGCAUCUAUGUUUGUCAGAAAUAUUGGCCUGUAGUUUUCUGUUAUUGUUGUGUCCCUACCUGGUUUUGGUAUCAGGAUACUACUGACAAGGUAAAUAAGUUAUACAGAAUUCCCUCCUAUUCAAUUUUCUGGAAAGGUUUAAGAAAAAUUGGUGUUAGUUCUUUAAAAUUUUGGGAGGAUUCAGCAUUAAAGCUAUUCAGUCCUGGGCUUUUCUCUGUUGAAAUAUUUUUUAUUACUGAUUCCAUCUUGUUACUCAUUAUUAGUCUGUUCAAUUUUAUGUUUCUUCCUGGUUCAAUCCUGGUAGGCUAUAUGUGUCUAGGAGUUUUUCCAUUUGCUCUAGGUUUUUGAAUUUGUUAACAUAUGAUUAUCCAUAAUAGAUUCCAGUAAUCCGUUUUAUUUCUGUAGGAUCAGUAAUGAUGUCUCCUUUUUUUAAUUUCUAAUUUCAUUUAUUUGAGUCUUUUCUCUUUUUUCUUUGUAAUUUUAAUAGUAAUUUGUCAAUUUUGUCCUUUUCAAAAAAUAAUUUAUUUUAUUGAUUCUUUGUACUAUUUUAUAGUCUCCACUUCACUUAGUUCUGCUCUAAUUUUUUAUAUUUCUUUUUAUCUCCUAAACUUUGGAUUGGAUUAUUCUUGCUUUUAUCGUUCCUUGAGGUGCAUUGUUAGAUUAUUUAAUUGAAAUCCUUCUAAUUUUUAACAUAGGCCAUUAUUGCUAUAAAAUUCCCUCUCAGCACUACUUUUGCUUUAUAUUAUAGGUUUGGGUAUAUUGUGUUUCCUUUUCCUUUUCAUUUUCUUCAAGAAUUUUAAAAAUUUCUUUCUUUUUUUUUUUUUUUUUUUGAGAUGGAGUCUUGCUCCUUCAUCCAAGCUGGAGUGCAGUGGUGCGGUCUCAGCUCACUGCAACCUCCGCCACCUUGGUUCAAGUGAUUCUCCUGCCUCAGCCUCCAGAAUAGCUGGGGUUACAGGUGCACAUCACCAUGCCUGAUAAAAUUUAUUUCUUAAUUUCUUCAUUGACCCUUUUGUCAUUCAGGAGCAUAUUGUUUAAUUUCCAUGUAUUUGUACAGUUUCUAAAAUUUGUCUAGCUAUGAUUUCUAGUUCUAGUCUAUGUAGUCUGAGAAUAUAUUUCAUGUAAUUUCUAUUUUAAAAAAUUGUUGAGACUUAUUUUGUGGCCUAAUGUAUGAUCUAUCCUGGAGAAUGUUCCAUGUGCUUUCGAGAAGAAUGUGUAUUCUGUAGCUGUUGGAUGAAAUGUGUUAAUAUAUGUUAGGUCCAUUUGGCCUAUAGUUUAGAUUAGGUCCAAUAUUUCUUUGUUGAUUUUCUGUUUACAUUGUCUGUCCAAUGCUAAAUACAGGAUGUUGUAGUCCACAACUAUUAUUGUAUUAGAAACAAUUUCUCUCUUUAGCUUUAACAAUACAUGCUUAUAUACCUGGGUGUUCUAGUUUUAAGUGCAUAUAUAUUUACCAUUAUUAAAUUAUCUUGCUGAAUUGACUCUUCUAUCUAUAUAAUGACUUAUUUUGUCUUUUUUUGUAUUUUUAGACUUAAAUUUUGUUAUAUCUAAGUAUAGCUAUUCUCAGAUGCUUUUCAUUUCCGUUUUUGUGCAUUUUUUUUUACAUUCCUCCACUUUUAGUCUAUGUGUAUCUUUACAGAUGAAAUGAGGUUUUCAGGGCAGCAUGUAAUUAGGUCUUGUUUUUUUGCUUAAUCCAUUCAGCCAGUCCAUAAUUUUUAAUUGUGGAAUUUAAAUUGUUUACGUUCAAGUUUGUUAUAGAUAGGUAAAAACUUCUGUCAUUUUGAUAUCUUUUUCUUUUUUUGGUUUUUAAUAUGUAAUUCUUUUAUUUUGUAAAGGUAACAAAAUAUACGGAACAAAAUUUUCCCUUUUUAAAACUAAUGUUACAAAUGUUACAAAUCCAUAUUAUCACUUGUAUAAUAUUAUAAUAUAUAUAAUACUAUAUAACUGAUCAUUAAUUAGGUGUAUGAGUCCAACAAUGUAUUCUUCUAACUGUUAAGCAAAAAACAAAAUAAAUUUUUUUUUCUUCAAAUUUAUCCGAG